rnacentral:misc_RNA from 1 species
CGACCCUCGCGCCCGGCUUCUGUCGGGGGCGGUGUUGGGGAUCGGCCACACCCACUCCGGUGGGAGGCCGGCCCCUAAAUCCAGUGGCGACCACGCUGUAGCCUCCCCUGCGUAGUACUAAAACCACCUCGCAGGCGGAGAGCGGUGCGGCCCGCCGUAAAACCCCCCAACUUUUACAAGG